AUACGGAGGAUCCGAGCGUUAUCCGGAUUUAUUGGGUUUAAAGGGUGCGUAGGUGGUUUGAUAAGUCAGCGGUGAAAGUUUGCGGCUUAACUGUAAAAAUGCCGUUGAAACUGUCGGACUUGAGUGUAAAUGAGGUAGGCGGAAUGCGUGGUGUAGCGGUGAAAUGCAUAGAUAUCACGCAGAACUCCGAUUGCGAAGGCAGCUUACUAAGCUACAACUGACACUGAAGCACGAAAGCGUGGGGAUCAAACAGGAUUAGAUACCCUGGUAGUCCACGCAGUAAACGAUGAUUACUAGCUGUUUGCGAUACACAGUAAGCGGCACAGCGAAAGCGUUAAGUAAUCCACCUGGGGAGUACGCCGGCAACGGUGAAACUCAAAUGAAUUGACGGGG
rnacentral:rRNA from 1 species